AUUGAACGCUGGCGGCAGGCCUAACACAUGCAAGUCGAGCGGGGUUUUCGGACCUAGCGGCGGACGGGUGAGUAAUGCGUAGGAAGCUGCCCGAUAGAGGGGGAUACCAGUUGGAAACGACUGUUAAUACCGCAUAAUGUCUACGGACCAAAGUGUGGGACCUUCGGGCCACACGCUAUCGGAUGCGCCUACGUGGGAUUAGCUAGUUGGUGAGGUAAUGGCUCACCAAGGCGACGAUCUCUAGCUGGUUUGAGAGGAUGAUCAGCCACACUGGAACUGGGACACGGUCCAGACUCCUACGGGAGGCAGCAGUGGGGAAUAUUGGACAAUGGGCGCAAGCCUGAUCCAGCCAUGCCGCGUGUGUGAAGAAGGCCUUCGGGUUGUAAAGCACUUUCAGCGAGGAGGAAGGGGUGUGUGUUAAUAGUACACACCUUUGACGUUACUCGCAGAAGAAGCACCGGCUAACUCUGUGCCAGCCGCCGCAGUAAGAC
rnacentral:rRNA from 1 species